GAGGGUAUAGCUCAAGUGGGGAAGCACAUGCUUAGCAUGCAUGGGGUCCUGGGUUCAAUCCUCAGUAUCUCCU
rnacentral:tRNA from 1 species